CUGAAUAUAGAUGUCUAAUUUCUCUUUUGUUUUCUAAUAAAGGGAUUCAGCAUAUGGAAUUUGAUUACAAAUACACUGAAUUUCUUGUAUUAUUUCUCAGGCCUGCACGUUGACAUUGGUGACGAUAGUUACAGCUACCCUGGGGAAGUCUUGCAGUGUUGCAAAACAACUACACAGCACUGCAGGGAAGCUGAAGAUUCGUGCAGUAGCUUUCAUUUAGAUGUGGCAGAGGAUUCUGUCAUCACCUGCAAUCAAGUGAUCAGCCUGUCUGUCAAAACUUGAAAUGCAGAGUAUAGAGCAAUGUGAUCCAGCAGGAUCAGGACUCUGGAGUCACAGUCCUUCCUUGUAACCGACCCUCCAGAAGCAGUGUGUGUCCCUGCCAUCUGGGUGUCACUACCAGCCUGCAGCCUGGCACAGAGGGAAGCAGCAGCGCUGCUGUUCAGCAUGGCUGCUCAGCAGAAGAAAGCUGGUGAGGGCAGUGGUUACAUGGCUUUUCUUCCAGGGCUUUUGCUUGUCCAAAUUAUUUCAAUCACUGCAGGUUAAUUGACUUCUCAGCCUCAGCUAACAAGACUGCACUUGGUCAGUAUCGAUUCUCACUCACAAUGCCCUCAGUCUUUUGAAUUAAAUGUUUUGAGCUGUAAGUAGCUGCCGUUGGUGAGAAUCUACAGUUCAGCCAGUGAUUAAAUUCUGAUUUUUUUUUCCUGCUCAGCCAUCUUUUCCAAAGCUGUUUAUCAUUUCUGUGUGUCUUUUGGAGGAUCUUAUUCCAGGUACCUCAUUUCCAGGUGGCCAGGGAGUUGGGUGCCCCAUCAACACUUGACCUGUGAAUUAAUUGCCACACUGUGCUGUUUGCAGGAUUUUAUACCUUCAGGGAUGUGCUUUCCCCUGCAGUGCUCCCGUGUAGUGUCACUUCAUUAGCCACAGCUAUAAACAGAGCUGUGUUGUGUGGCAUUCAGAACUCUGACAGAGCCAAAUACAUGGCUUUUUAGAGGCUUUUAUUAUUCUGGAUCAAUGGAAGAUACGGGACUGAUCUGUCGUUUCCUUGCAAGCAGCACAACAGGAUACACUGGUGUGAGGGUGGACACAAGCACGGGGCUGGGGGAAGCAGCUCUUGCUAAACCAACUGAUGGAAAACACAUUUAGCUACGUUUUGGUUCUGCCUCAAGCAGCUUUUCAGAUUUGUUUCUAUUCCUGAUGUACAUAGGAAAGUGUUUGGGGGAAACAGGCUCUCACUUGAUGGGAUUUGUUGACUGUGGGAACACCUGGGGUUAGAAUUGAAACUGAGCUUUGAGCGUUCUGCUGAAGUAGCUGGUACUUCCUGUGCUGCUCCUGUCACCUGGUAAUGCAGUCUCUUGUAAUAGGUCUCUGUUCUUUCUGAAUGUAAUGAGAGGAGCAGAUUUCCUGCUGUUCUAAAAUCCCAACAAACAAGAUAAAUUUUAUCUUCAAAAUAUUUAGGCAUCACAUGGGUGGGUUUUGGAGGGAUGUGUGUGUUUGGAAUGCAUCAGGUUUUGGGUGAAUUCACUGUAAUUGAACCUACUCUUAAUCUGGUGAAAUUGGACUCCUAAUGACCAAUUUGGGAUAUGCAGACAAUAUGUGUACCAAAUUAUAUCUCAUUUUAUGCAGCAAUAAAGCACACCGCGUUCUUUCUAAA